GGUUAAGCGACUAAGCGUACACGGUGGAUGCCCUGGCAGUCAGAGGCGAUGAAGGACGUGCUAAUCUGCGAAAAGCGUCGGUAAGGUGAUAUGAACCGUUACAGCCGGCGAUGUCCGAAUGGGGAAACCCAGUGCAAUUCGUUGCACUAUCGUUAACUGAAUACAUAGGUUAACGAGGCGAACCGGGGGAACUGAAACAUCUAAGUACCCCGAGGAAAAGAAAUCAACCGAGAUUCCCCCAGUAGCGGCGAGCGAACGGGGAGCAGCCCGGAGUCUGAAUCAGCUUGUGUGUUAGUGGAAGCGUCUGGAAAGUCGCAGGGUACAGGGUGAUACUCCCGUACACUAAAACGCACAGGUUGUGAACUCGAAGAGUAGGGCGGGACACGUGGUAUCCUGUCUGAAUAUGGGGGGACCAUCCUCCAAGGCUAAAUACUCCUGACUGACCGAUAGUGAACCAGUACCGUGAGGGAAAGGCGAAAAGAACCCCGGCGAGGGGAGUGAAAAAGAACCUGAAACCGUGUACGUACAAGCAGUAGGAGCCCACUUGUUGGGUGACUGCGUACCUUUUGUAUAAUGGGUCAGCGACUUAUAUUCUGUAGCAAGGUUAACCGUAUAGGGGAGCCGCAGGGAAACCGAGUCUUAACUGGGCGUUAAGUUGCAGGGUAUAGACCCGAAACCCGGUGAUCUAGCCAUGGGCAGGUUGAAGGUUGGGUAACACUAACUGGAGGACCGAACCGACUAAUGUUGAAAAAUUAGCGGAUGACUUGUGGCUGGGGGUGAAAGGCCAAUCAAACCGGGAGAUAGCUGGUUCUCCCCGAAAGCUAUUUAGGUAGCGCCUCGUGAACUCAUCUUCGGGGGUAGAGCACUGUUUCGGCUAGGGGGUCAUCCCGACUUACCAACCCGAUGCAAACUACGAAUACCGAAGAAUGUUAUCACGGGAGACACACGGCGGGUGCUAACGUCCGUCGUGAAGAGGGAAACAACCCAGACCGCCAGCUAAGGUCCCAAAGUCAUGGUUAAGUGGGAAACGAUGUGGGAAGGCCCAGACAGCCAGGAUGUUGGCUUAGAAGCAGCCAUCAUUUAAAGAAAGCGUAAUAGCUCACUGGUCGAGUCGGCCUGCGCGGAAGAUGUAACGGGGCUAAACCAUGCACCGAAGCUGCGGCAGCGACACUAUGUGUUGUUGGGUAGGGGAGCGUUCUGUAAGCCGUUGAAGGUGGCCUGUGAGGGUUGCUGGAGGUAUCAGAAGUGCGAAUGCUGACAUAAGUAACGAUAAUGCGGGUGAAAAACCCGCACGCCGGAAGACCAAGGGUUCCUGUCCAACGUUAAUCGGGGCAGGGUGAGUCGACCCCUAAGGCGAGGCCGAAAGGCGUAGUCGAUGGGAAACAGGUUAAUAUUCCUGUACUCGGUGUUACUGCGAAGGGGGGACGGAGAAGGCUAUGUUGGCCGGGCGACGGUUGUCCCGGUUUAAGCAUGUAGGCGGAUGUUCCAGGUAAAUCCGGAACGUCACUAACGCUGAGGUGUGAUGACGAGGCACUACGGUGCUGAAGUGACAAAUGCCCUGCUUCCAGGAAAAGCCUCUAAGCAUCAGGUAACAUCAAAUCGUACCCCAAACCGACACAGGUGGUCAGGUAGAGAAUACCAAGGCGCUUGAGAGAACUCGGGUGAAGGAACUAGGCAAAAUGGUGCCGUAACUUCGGGAGAAGGCACGCUGAUGGUAGGUGAAGUGACUUGCUCAUGGAGCUGAAAUCAGUCGAAGAUACCAGCUGGCUGCAACUGUUUAUUAAAAACACAGCACUGUGCAAACACGAAAGUGGACGUAUACGGUGUGACGCCUGCCCGGUGCCGGAAGGUUAAUUGAUGGGGUUAUCCUCGCGGAGAAGCUCUUGAUCGAAGCCCCGGUAAACGGCGGCCGUAACUAUAACGGUCCUAAGGUAGCGAAAUUCCUUGUCGGGUAAGUUCCGACCUGCACGAAUGGCGUAAUGAUGGCCAGGCUGUCUCCACCCGAGACUCAGUGAAAUUGAACUCGCUGUGAAGAUGCAGUGUACCCGCGGCAAGACGGAAAGACCCCGUGAACCUUUACUAUAGCUUGACACUGAACACUGGUCCUUGAUGUGUAGGAUAGGUGGGAGGCUUUGAAGUGUGGACGCCAGUCUGCAUGGAGCCAUCCUUGAAAUACCACCCUUUAAUGGCUGGUGUUCUAACGUGGGCCCCUAAUCGGGGUUGCGGACAGUGUCUGGUGGGUAGUUUGACUGGGGCGGUCUCCUCCUAAAGAGUAACGGAGGAGCACGAAGGUCAGCUAAUCCUGGUCGGACAUCAGGAGGUUAGUGCAAUGGCAUAAGCUGGCUUGACUGCGAGCGUGACGGCGCGAGCAGGUGCGAAAGCAGGUCAUAGUGAUCCGGUGGUUCUGAAUGGAAGGGCCAUCGCUCAACGGAUAAAAGGUACUCCGGGGAUAACAGGCUGAUACCGCCCAAGAGUUCAUAUCGACGGCGGUGUUUGGCACCUCGAUGUCGGCUCAUCACAUCCUGGGGCUGAAGUAGGUCCCAAGGGUAUGGCUGUUCGCCAUUUAAAGUGGUACGCGAGCUGGGUUUAGAACGUCGUGAGACAGUUCGGUCCCUAUCUGCCGUGGGCGCUGGAGAAUUGAGGGGGGCUGCUCCUAGUACGAGAGGACCGGAGUGGACGCAUCACUGGUGUUCGGGUUGUCAUGCCAAUGGCAUUGCCCGGUAGCUAAAUGCGGAAGAGAUAAGUGCUGAAAGCAUCUAAGCACGAAACUUGCCCCGAGAUGAGUUCUCCCUGACCCUUUAAGGGUCCUGAAGGAACGUUGAAGACGACGACGUUGAUAGGCCGGGUGUGUAAGCGCAGCGAUGCGUUGAGCUAACCGGUACUAAUGAACCGUGAGGCUUAACCUU
rnacentral:rRNA from 1 species